rnacentral:rRNA from 1 species
UAGCUAGUUGGUGGGGUAAGGGCCUACCAAGGCGACGAUCGGUAGCUGGUCUGAGAGGAUGGCCAGCCACACUGGAACUGAGACACGGUCCAGACUCCUACGGGAGGCAGCAGUGGGGAAUAUUGGACAAUGGGGGCAACCCUGAUCCAGCAAUGCCGCGUGUGUGAAGAAGGCCUGAGGGUUGUAAAGCACUUUCAGUGGGGAGGAGUGUUGAUGGGUUAAGAGCUAAUUAACUGGACGUUACCCACAGAAGAAGCACCGGCUAACUCCGUGCCAGCAGCCGCGGUAAUACGGAGGGUGCGAGCGUUAAUCGGAAUUACUGGGCGUAAAGAGUGCGUAGGUGGUUGAAUAAGUCAUCUGUGAAAUCCCCGGGCUCAACCUGGGCAGGUCAGAUAAGACUGUAUGACUCGAGUAUAGGAGAGGGUAGUGGAAUUUCCGGUGUAGCGGUGAAAUGCGUAGAGAUCGGAAGGAACACCAGUGGCGAAGGCGGCUACCUGGCCAGAUACUGACACUGAGGCACGAAAGCGUGGGGAGCAAACAGGAUUAGAUACCCUGGUAGUCCACGCUGUAAACGAUGUCAACUAGUUGUUGGCCUUAUAAAUGAGGUUAGUGACGA